rnacentral:misc_RNA from 1 species
GCCGGAGGAGGAAGAUGGUAAACAACGUCAGCUGAGACUUUCAAUUUCCUUCCGUUUUUUUUAUUUUUUUUGACAAGAUGGAGAAGAACGUGCUGAAAAAUGUCCAGGUGUGCACGGACACGAGCGACUGCGUUGAGCUGUCCCGUACGUCUGGCCUCUACCUCAAACCAGAGGCUAGGGUCAGCAUCACAGUCACGCUCCCACAGCUCAAGUCAGGGCAGUCGAUAUCCAACUGGGAGGUAAUGGAGAAGCUUCGAUCUGCCAUACUGCCAGAAGUGUUCACAGUUAUCAAAGUGACCAAAAGUACGCUCGAGUUCCUGAGAUUCGAUGCGGAAAUUGAGAACAGGAAGAAUCUCUCGCAAGUCAUCAGUAAAAUCGAUCAGAAAGGGAUCAAGCUGAGUGGAUUCUCAGACCUCCUGAAGAUCAGAGCCACGGAGGCCAAGGCCCCCUUCCCCUCUCGUCAUGACUGGGACAGUUAUUUCCGGGACGCCAAACACAUGAACGAGAUGAAGCCGGGAGAGAGACCAGACACGGUGCACUUCCAGGACCUCCCGUGCCGUUGGUUUGCGCACAUCAAUGAUGCUGACACCAACAAGCCCAGUGACUACGUCCUCAGCAAAGUGAUGGCUUCCUUUGGGGAGAUCAGGGCGGUGGACAUCCCUCUCUGCGACCCUUAUCGCAAGAAAAUGUCAGCCUCCAUCAAUGGCAUCAAGACCUUCAGCUUUGGCCAGGACCUGGUCUUUGAGGCCUAUGUGCAGUUCAAGGAGUACAUAGGCUUUGCCAAGUGCAUGCACGCACUGCAGGGAAAGAAGCUAGUUUUCCUUGAAGGGGACAAAGCAUGGAGUGCAUCUAUAAAGGUGGACUUUGACAAGACAAAGCACUUGUCAGAAUACUCGAUCAAAAAACGCUCGGCUGAACGAGAGAAGCUGCAGGCCGUAGAACGCGAGGCUGAGGAAAAGGUGCGCAGAAAGAGAGAGAUGGAGGAGAUGAAGAUAGAGGCUGAAAGGAUGAGACAGGAGGAGGAAAGGAGGAUGAAGGAGGAACGCAAAGAGGCAAAGAAAAAGGAGAAAGAAUUACGGAGGAAUGAGAGAGAGGAAAAGAGACGAAAGAAAAGGUUGAUGAAAGUGGAGGAGAUGAUGAAGAAACAGGAGGAGGAAGAGGAGGCAAAGCUUGCCAGGAAGAUUGCCUUGGAGGAACGGAAGCUGCUGAUUGCGCAACGCAAGCUGGAGAGCAUUCGACUCCUGGAUGAGCUCUUUGAGAGAAUUAAGGUUGGUCGUCAGAAGGAGAUUGCUCAAAAGAGGGAGGAGGAGAUCUUCCGGCAUUUGGACCAGCAUAAUAACAAGCAGGUGGAGGAGUUGAAAGAAAAAGAGCUAAAGGAACGCAGACACCAGGAGAAGCUGGCAGACCAAGAGCGAAUGCUGCGCGAUAAGCUAGUCCGCUCUUACAAGUCCAGAGAGGAGGACCGGAUGGAACAGCAGCGUGAGAAAGUGCGCAAGGCUGUUCAGGGAAAGGUGCAACUCCAGAGCGUCAUAUCAGCUGCAUCACUGUCUUCCAUCUCGACCGCUACCUCGGAGAGCGACAGUGAUUCUUCCUCUGAAUCCUCUGAUUCCUCAGUGUCCUCAGAGACCAAGCGGGGCAACCUGUCCACCGGUCGUUUGCGAAUGGACAACAUGGACGAAGAAGAACAGUACGACGAGUAUGGGAGCUGGCACCCCUCCCAGGGUUCCCAGCAUCAUUACUACUCCUACUAUGAUGGGUAUGGUGACCCAGAAGCCCAGGGUUACCACCAGUCUUGGGGCCAGGAUGAUGGCUUUGAGCGCGGCAGGGGACGCGGAAGGGGCCGGUGGCGGUUCCCCAGAGGUCCUUGGAGAGGCCGUGGAUUCAGGGAUCGUGGCAGAGGGUUCCGGGAUAGAGGAAGAUCCUUCAGGGGUUCGUGGAACAAGUAUGGGCAGGAAAGAGAUGGAGCCAAACCGCUGGAGGUUAACAAGCCUGUGACAACCUGGUAUAAGAGAGGAAGUGAUAACGAGCGUGAUGAUUCCAGGUCAAGGUCUAGGAGUAGGUCGAGGUCUAGAAGUUCCAGAUCACGUUCUAGGUCGAGAUCCAGGAGAUCCCGCUCCAGGUCCAGGUCCAGGAAGUCCGGCUCAAAGUCCCACUCCAGGUCCAGGAAGUCUCGUUCCAAGUCAAGGUCAAGAUCUAGAAAGAAUUCCAAGUCCAAGUCAAAGAGUCGAUCCCACUCCCGCUCGAAGUCAGGAUCAAGAAGCAGGAGUAGGAGCAGGAGCAGGAGCAGGAGCAGGAGCAAGAGCAAGAGCAGGAGCAGGAGCAGGAGCAGAAGACGAAGACACUCCAGUAGUGAUGACAGGUCAAGCCACUCCUCAAGAAGGAGAUACAAGCGAAGGAGUGAGCGCUACAGGAGGAGCAACAGCAGGAAGAAAGAUGAAGACAAAGAUGUGAAUUAUGAAGACAUGCGUGAAAGUGACCUAGAGCUCUCCAGUGAUCCGGAAGAUGCUUGGAGGUAUGAAGAGGAAUAUGAGGAAGAUGAGGAGUACUAUGAGGAUGAAAAUGGAUACUACCCCCAGUAUCCCUCACGGGCACGUGGCCGUGGGGGAUACAGAGGCUUUAGGAGAGGCUUCCGUGGGCGCUGGCCCAGGUGGCGAGGGAGGGGGCGGGGAAGGGGUCAUUCCAGCUACUAUGACUACCCUGAGGAUUAUGAUUCCUGGAGGCAUGAUGAACUGAGUGCAAGGGACCAGUACCAAACCAUGUACCAGAAGUACUUUGAGAGUGUGGCUGAUCGAGAGUCCUCCAGCAAGAGUGGACGAACCCCAGAGGAGUAUAAUAAUAGGAAGGAGGGCGAGAACUAUCGGGAGAGGGAGGAGGGACACAGGUCUCUACACAAGGAGCGAGAACAGCCACAGGAAGACUAUGAAAACAAUCACAGGAGCCAUCACGAGUACAGUGACGGGAGGAAUCCAGAUAGGCUGAGAAAUCAGGACGGCUGGCCAAAUUAUGAGAAGAAAUGGAAGCAUGGUGCAGAGAGGAAGUCAGAAGAUAGGGACAAUUUCAAUGAAACGAGCAGAAAAGCUCAAGCAUUCAACAGGGAGUUAAUGGACUCUGUGCGUGGGAGAAGAGAGACAGAAAGCAUAAGAGAGCCGGAGGACAUAGAGGGCAGGAGACAAGGCGAGAGGGAGAGCUUGAGACAGAGGCUCAGCAGGGAUAGAACAAAACCCUACAGAGAAGAGAGAGACAACAACAGAAAGGAUCAUGCUAUGAGAGAGAGUCUGGAGGACAGCCGACGAGAGCGUAGCUAUGAGAGAGACGGGCAGUUAUCAAGUGCGAUUGUUAAAAGCAGUGGCAACGAGAGAAGAUAUGGUGAUAAAGCCAGUUAUGAAAAAGGAAGAGAUAAAGACCGUAAUAGUGACAAUAGUAUUGAUUCACGAUGGAAGAACCAAGUGCUAAGAGCAGACAUUGAGAGAGAUAGGAAGCGAGAGGUUUCCGUGAAAGAUAGGUUGAGUUUUGGAAAUGUCAAAAGCAACAGUGAGACUGAUCGCAUUAAUAAUAGGUUGAAAUCUAUUGCUGAACAAGGUGCCUUUAAGCAUAAACAGUCGGAUGUUGAGACUAGGGGUGGGCGUGAUGCAGAGCGCAGGGACCUGAGACCUUGGCAUAAUACAGACUCAAGUGAAGGUAGACGGGAUCCAAAACCCAGUGAUCCAAGAAGUAGGCGUGAAAUUUUGUAUAACAGUGGUAGAGACAGGCAUGAGACAGACCAUGGGGGAAGUAGAGAGAGAGGGGAUGAAGGUAGCGAAAGUAGGAAGAGACGAGAUCACGAGAGAGUUGCCCUGAGGGAGAGUUCCGAAAGAGAUGAAGAGUCAAAUGAAAGUGAUUCAGAUAGAAAGAGGCACCACAGUGAUGGUAGUAGAAAGAAAAGGAAAAAGAGAAAGAGAAAGAGAGAGGAAAGAGGUGAUAUUAGAAGGCAUAAACAUAAAAAGAAAAAGAAGAAGAGGGUGUUGGAGAGAAAGUAAAGGCAUUGGACCACUCUUUUUCAGGUUGCUGUGAUAAACCAACUUGAACUGAAAUCAGUUUUCUGUGACAUUUGAAAGACAGAUGUGACUGUGAGAAGAUUUGUGAAUUUGUGUGAAAUCUGAGUGCCUAUAUUUGUGUUCUGUAUAUAUUUUCAUUUCAGGUUAUUUUAUAUGAAAGACAGACAGACCCCUAAAUCUGUUUUUAAAAAAGUGAAUCCUCCUCCUUUUUAAAGUGAAAGUAUGAAUACAGUGAGCUGAAGUUAAGUGACUUGAAGGGGCAGAGGAUUCUUGAGUGCAUUGUGAAAUUUCCAAGCGAGAAUGUUUUCUACCAGAUAAAAAUAAUGAUUAAGUGUUUUUCAGGUUUCUCUUUCAGCUUUUCUAUUUUCAAGGGGAAGUGUGUCAGUAGACAUUUAUAGACAGUUUCAGUUGGUGGUAGAAACACAGUGAUAGUUUAUACCUGAAGAAGCUUCAGACUCUAGUGUACUGUGGUGGAGCAUUUAAAAGGAAGCCAUGAAAUUUCAAAUAACUUUACAUCAAGAGUGACUAAUGAAUAUCAACUGGUUACAUGAGAGUGUUGAAACUAGAAGAGUUUAUAUCACUUAAGCUAAUGAGACUUAUAGGAUGCUAAAGUUGGUUAUAGUGCACAUUCGAAGGUUUUACAAAGAAGCAAUGAAAGCUGUGAACUUAGAAUUUUUAAAUGAUGCGAACAGAUGUAACCGAUGAAAUAGAGACUAAGGAACCAUUUUGUACGACUGCUGUAAGACAGACACCAUGAAGAUUGGAAUUGCUGCGUUUGAUGAGAGAUUCUUGAUUAGAGAGUGACAGAGAUGUGAUGUAAAAGUCUCAUAGUACACGCUCAGUUAAACGGGUCCGUGCAUUUCUCGAAGCCCGAAGCGAAUGUGCAGUGGACACACGAGGAAAAGAAAACGAGUGAAAUGUGUGCACAGAGGUCUUCAUUUUGUGCAGUUGAUAUAAAUUUUUCUUGUGGAAAGAGGAUUGAUGAGUGCAAAGUAACUGCAAGUGUUUUGGAAAGGGACACGGAAAAGCAGCACCUGAACCAAAUUAUUCAUAUUAUACAUUUCAAAACUGACUUUGAUGUACAUGAAGUACAUGGUAAGGUAACAGUAUUAAGAAAGACAUACGUAUAAUAGAGAAAAGGAAAGAAAAGAAAAGAAAAUACACUUCGGGAACAUGACAAGAAAGUGAAAUACGGCACUGAUAGUAUUUCUAUAUUUAUUUUUAUUUAAUGAUGAUUUUAUUCUUAUUUUUGAUAGAUGUAGACGAGGCAAGAGAGGACCUGUGUGCUCUCUUGUUUUGGUUAUUUCCUCCUCGUCUACCAAAAUAAUGUACAUAGAUGACUCUUUUCUUGUACAAAAUUGGAUUUUGAAAUUAGAAAGGAUAUUGAAAUUAAAGAUGCUGAAAACUA